AUUGAACGCUGGCGGCAGGCCUAACACAUGCAAGUCGAACGAGUGGCGGACGGGUUAGUUAUGUCUGGGAAACUGCCUGAUGGAGGGGGAUCACUACUGGAAACGGUAGCUAAUAACGCAUACCAUCCGCUGUGCCCAGAUGGGAUUAGCUAGGUGGUGGGGUAACGGCUCACAGAGGCGACGAUCCCUAGCUGGUCUGAGAGGAUGACCAGCCACACUGGAACGGAGACACGGUCCAGACUCCUAGGGGAUGCAGCAGUGGGGAUGAUGGCACAAUGGGCGCAAGCCGGAUGAAGCCAUGCCGCGUGUAUGAAGAAGGCCUUCGGGUUGUAAAGUACUGUCAGCGGGGAGGCGUUACCCGCAGAAGAAGCACCGGCUAAAUCCGUGCCAGCAGCCGCGGUAAUAC
rnacentral:rRNA from 1 species